AGCUUUCUAAGACAUUCUUUCAACAAACAACAAACAAUACCUAGAGCAGUGAAGCAGCUCUCACAGGAAGCUAGCAACACCGAUGCUGUCUUAGCGAGAGUAGGGGGAGGAUCCAUCCUCACCUAAACUUAGCAAACUAAAAGUAGAACCAUGCACGUUAUAUGCUUAAGGAUCGGCAGACAACUGACGGGCUGGUCGUUUUGGUGCCAAAUUGCACACGGUUUCGCUAAAUGUUUGAAUAAAUGUAAUCCAUCAUCUGUGGAGUAUUUACAGUAGCUUGAUUGUAAUAAAAACCUUGGUCAUUGUUGCAGACCAGAAGCUUUCCCAAUAAUUCAUCAUCCUAGUAAGAGCUUGUUAUUGGAGUUACGGACUGGUGCAAGAUCCAUUUCCUUCCCUCCUAUUCAGUUCCUAUGGGAAGAUUUCUAUCUUGUUACAAGUUUUCCUAAGCCUGAUGCAAGGGACAUCUAGUCAGUGCACAAGAUCUGGAAUGGGAUAUAUAUAUAUAUAUAUAUUAUACGUUUAUGAAAUGUUCUUAAUGUCAAAGGUGCAAAAAUUUGACAAUAUUUUAUUAAUUGGAACCUAUUAUAUUGACAAUUUUUUUCUUUUUUCUUUGUAUCUCAAUGCAUGCAAUAUCUUCACCAAUGACAACACUCCUUGAAUUUCACCCAUUUAUGCAUAACAUCUGCAUGUCUAUGUAUGCAUAGACAUGUAAUUGUAAUCCCACCAAAUUCCCCUUUUUUCUUUUCUUUUCUUGAUUGCAUACACACAGGGCAGGGCAUAAGAAAAGCCCUGCUUAUCAGUUUGAUCAAUGUAGCUUCUUUGGGUUUUAAGAAACUCUGUUUUUUUUUUUUUUUUUCACGAAUUAUAGAAUGGCAGAUGGCGGAGGCACGCAGUAGAAAAGAUAUCGGAGCUUUGAAGGACUCCACAACAGUCGGAUUGGCAAAAGUAAAUAGUGAAACAAGGUGAUGUUUAUGGCUGAAAAUUCUAAUUAAGCUCGUUAUAUUGCUCAUUCGCUGUCUUGGAUGUUAGUCAAUUGUAAUUACAAAGAGAUUGUCAUGUGCUCUAGGGGAUUGAUGUUGCUAUCGUGAAGGCCACGGUUGCAUGAUGAAGUAUUGUCCAAAGAAAAAAAUAUCAAGAUGUUUCAAGAAAAUAUGCAAGAUGGUUGGUUAAAAUUACAGUGGAAUGUGCAUUAUAUAAUUCUGAUAGAAGUGCAAGUGUUCCAUUGAACAGUGAUUGUCGCUGUUUUUUCAGUUGCUUGUAAAAAUUCUGGUUUGGAUUUCGUCCAACCCUAGCCCACAAUAUACAAUAACCUGAAAGUUAUGGGUGCUUUCGUGUAAAGUGGGUGGAAGCUAUUAUUCAGUGCGUCAUAUAUGACCUAUGGUUUACAGAAAAUUUCCCAGCAAAAGUCUAGAAAUGAUAACUAAAGAGCUUGAUACCCCAUGCUUGCAUGAGCAUUUGCAACUUUUCAAGGAGCUGUAACUUUCUCGCCUACUUGCUUGCAACUUUCUCGCCUACUUGCAACAACUACAUUCUCAAUCAUGCAACAACUACAUUCUCGCCUACUUGCUUGCAACUUUUCAAGGAGCUGUCAAAGCUUUCCAAUUUAUAAGGGUUGGAUUUCAAUUCAUGUAACUUUACUUCGAUUUUCCCUUUCGAAUCAGAACUUCCCUCAGUCUUCUCUUCAUUUGGGCAAGGUAUACACCUUGGCAUCAUGAGCUUGUUCUUCUCCUCCAUUUUAUGCAUCCAGUAACACUGCACUGCCCAGUACUGUGCAAACGGCAGCCAUGAGCCAAGAACAGCCGUACCUGAUAUUGCAGCAGCAGCAGUCGAGUAUGGUUGGCCAUGAUUCAAGUUCUACUAAUCCUUUUGGGAAUCCCUAUGAAGAUAAAAAGUAGCCAUCCUAUCCAGCUCAAACCAUAGCCUAAUUUAGAGAUCACAGGAUUAAGACAUUUCAGUCAACAAGUUUGUAGCCGAAAUGACAGGAGAGGAGCUGACAGGUUUAAAAGCGUGAGCAGCACUCCUUUUUGCACUCCCGAAGUAGGGAAAUGCAGUUUACAUUGAAUAGUUAAGUCAUCCAUUGUUAUACAGUGGGAGAUACAAUCCUCCAUCUCUCACGCGUAAUGGAGAAAAAUACGAGUAUAGUCUUCAUGAA